rnacentral:rRNA from 1 species
UUUCCAGACUCCUACGGGAGGCAGCAGUGGGGAAUAUUGGGCAAUGGGCGCAAGCCUGACCCAGCAACGCCGCGUGAAGGAAGAAGGCUUUCGGGUUGUAAACUUCUUUUCUCAGGGACGAAGAAAGUGACGGUACCUGAGGAAUAAGCCACGGCUAACUACGUGCCAGCAGCCGCGGUAAUACGUAGGUGGCAAGCGUUGUCCGGAAUUACUGGGUGUAAAGGGAGCGCAGGCGGGAAGCCAAGUCAGCUGUGAAAACUACGGGCUUAACUUGUAGACUGCAGUUGAAACUGGUUUUCUUGAGUGAAGUAGAGGUUGGCGGAAUUCCGAGUGUAGCGGUGAAAUGCGUAGAUAUUCGGAGGAACACCGGUGGCGAAGGCGGCCAACUGGGCUUUAACUGACGCUGAGGCUCGAAAGUGUGGGGAGCAAACAGGAUUAGAUACCCUUGUAC